rnacentral:lncRNA from 1 species
GUGUUGGUUUGUUUACUUAUUUCUAAGCGAGAAUCGAGUGUUUUUAAGACUUUACAACAUUAGUUCAUACGAAUUUUUUUAAUAACUUGAAAGAAUUAUUAUUUCCGUUAGUAUUUAACUUUAAUAAAACUUACUUUCAUUCAAAAAGUCAUGAAAAUAAAAUAAAAGACAACGUAAACAACCCAACACGUGUUUUCCUAUAAGAGUUAUCUUUUCUUGAUUUUCGUGACGUCACGACGAGAUUCAAUAUGGCCGAA